GGGGCUCUGUUUAAACCACUAAAGGUACUUUGGCUUAAGCUUGCAUCAGCGCUCAGGGGAGGGGUGAACAGGUGAGAAACUCAGGCACAGAGGAGAAACACCUGCUCAGGUCCUGCUUCCUGGUAACAAGGGGACUGAGAUUUUGCUAUGGGGACAGCUGUUUUCCAAACUUCGAAGAGAUGUGCCACAGAAGUGAGACUUCUGCACUGUAGCCCCCAGAGUCUGAUUCUGUAUCCCUGUACAACUCGUCACAAGGACCCCAAAGGUCUUUCUGCGUGACUUUCAUGCAUUGGCAAUCAGGUGCUACUUGGGGACCUCAGCACCACUCUGUGCUCAUGCCUGGCCUGGCCACUCUCUCUGUGUGUCCCUGUUGCCAGAUCCUGGCUGUCAUACUGUUCCAGAAUAUUCUAGCUGGAUUAAAAAGCCUGGGCUCACUCUGUAAGACCUCAUGGAGAACAUCAUGAAGUGUCCCCCUCACUCAGCCACCUCUCUGAGUACUUCGUGUAAGAUGGAGGUAUCUGAAUCCUGUCGGCUUUGGCUGUUGAAAAACUAGUUCUAGAAGUUCACACUAGUCAGAGGUUGUUUCACAAUCAUAAAGCUCACUCUUAAUUCACUUAAGUCUUCUCCUCCUCCUUGAAUGAGCCCCUUUUAAGUCUGAAAUUAGACACUAAAUGCAGGCUUCACAUUUCAUGUGUCCUUUAGUAGCUAGUGACAUUCUCUAGGGCAAGGUCACUUCUCCAGCAUUCUGAAGUUACACCUUCUGCCCCCAUGCCCCGCCCCCGUAAACUUUUUGCUCCUGGUAACAGUUUCCCUGGAGACAAGUUGCCCCCUUUUCAUUGAAGUUAAGAACAUGCCAAUGCUAACUCCCUUCCUCGAAAAUACGCCAGUGACAAUCCCAACCUUGAAUUCUCAAGACCCUAGGAGAAAAUCCAUCCGGACCUAAGUCCCCUGGAUCAGGUCAACCUAGGACAAAGCCGCUAGCUCACCCAGCCGCCAUCAUUUGCCCUCUUCACAGGAGGAUCUGUCAAUUUGGCUUCCAUCCAGGACUCCAUCAGAUCCUCAGGGAUGUAGGCGGUCAUACCCCCUUCAUGGAAGGGUGCCUUGCCUCAUUUGUCUGCUAGAGUCAUCUCAGUACCCACUUCAGGCUCUGGGAUUCCACACAUGCAAAUGGUACCCAGCCUUCCUCUUCCUCCUGCUUUGGGCAAGUCUCAGGGCACCAGGACAUAGGCUGUGGCUUCCCUGACAUGUUCUGUUUGUGCCAGACUGUCAAGCUCCUUCAUGUUUGUGUGAGCAUGUGGGUGCACAUGCGCGUGCAUGCCUGUGUGUGCCUGUGUGUGUGUGUAUGCAUAAUGGUCAGCUCUCUU
rnacentral:lncRNA from 1 species